rnacentral:misc_RNA from 1 species
ACUCAGGGACUAGAGAAGGCUG